AUGGACUCGCCGCCUCCUGAGCAGCCCUCCGUCGACUCCGUCACGCACGAUUUGCGCCACCAGAGCUUGGCCGCCGACGCGCCGGGAGCACGGUUGAAGUUUGAGGAUCUGUACUGGGAUAACUAGUUCGUCAGAGAGCUGCCUGGUGAUCCUAGGACCGAUGCGCUUCCGCAAGAGGUCGGAGCCUGUUUCUGUUUGUUAACUCCAUCAGCUCCAGUUGAUGAUCCUCAGCUCAUUGCCUGGUCACAGUCGGUUGCUGAAUUGCUUGAAUUGGAUUCUCAAGAAUUUGAAAGGCCAGAUUUCCCUCUUUUAUUCUCUGGAGCGUCUUCUUUAGUCGGAUCAUAAGUAUUUCUCUGAAUGUCACCCUAUGCUCAGUGCCAUGGAGGACAUCAGUUCGGCAUGUGAGUGGGACAGUUGGGAGACGGUCAGGCUAUUACACUUGGGGGAGGUUCUUAACUCUAAAUCUGAAAGGUGGGGACUGCAGCUCAAAGGUGCUGGGAAGACCCCUUACAGCCUGUUUGCCGAUGGCCUUGCUGUGCUUCGUAGUAGCAUUCAGGAAUUUCUCUGCAGUGAAGCAAUGCAUAGUCUUGUUAUUCCAACGACCCGUGCUCUAUGUCUUGUGACAACUGGAAAACUUGUCACCCGUGACAUGUUCUAUGGUGGCAAUCCAAAGGAGGAGCCAGGUGCAAUUGUUUGGAGGGUUGCUCCAUCCUUCCUGCGGCUUGGAUCCUACUAAAUACAUGCCUCUAGGGAAACAGAAGACCUUGCCAUUGUUUGUACUCUAGCAGACUAUGCCAUUAGGCAUCACUUCCCACAUAUAGAGAACCCGAAUAGAAGUGAGAGUUUAUCGUUCAAUGCAGGGAACGAAGACCAUGAAGUCGUUGAUUUAACGUCUAACAAGCAUGCAGCCUGGGUGGUGGAGAUUGCUGAACGUACUGCGUCCUUGGUUGCCAAAUGGCAGGGGGUCAGUUUUGCUCAUGGUGUGUUGAACACUGACAAUAUGAGCAUUUUGGGCCUCACCAUUGAUUAUGGUCCUUUUGGAUUUCUUGAUGCAUUUGAUCCAAGUUACACCCCCGGUACAACGGAUCUUCCUGAGAGGAGAUAUUGUUUUGCAAAUUGGCUUAUGGAAUAUUAUGCAUUGUCAUCUGCCAAGUUGAUAAAUGAGGAGGCAAACUAUGCAAUGGAAAAGAAGUUGUGA